rnacentral:rRNA from 1 species
UACGUAGGUGGCAAGCGUUGUCCGGAAUUACUGGGUGUAAAGGGUGCGUAGGCGGGCUGUAAAGUCAGAUGUGAAACUCCGGGGCUCAACCCCGGAACUGCAUUUGGAACUUAUGGUCUUGAGUGAAGUAGAGGUAAGCGGAAUUCCCGGUGUAGCGGUGAAAUGCGUAGAUAUCGGGAGGAACAUCGGUGGCGAAGGCGGCUUACUGGGCUUUAACUGACGCUGAGGCACGAAAGCAUGGGGAGCAAAC